rnacentral:rRNA from 1 species
UACGUAGGGCGCAAGCGUUAUCCGGAAUUAUUGGGCGUAAAGAGCUCGUAGGCGGUCUGUCGCGUCUGCUGUGAAAACUCAGGGCUUAACCCUGAGCUUGCAGUGGGUACGGGCAGACUAGAGUGCGGUAGGGGAGACUGGAAUUCCUGGUGUAGCGGUGAAAUGCGCAGAUAUCAGGAGGAACACCGGUGGCGAAGGCGGGUCUCUGGGCCGUAACUGACGCUGGAGGAGCGAAAGCAUGGGGAGCGAACAGG